rnacentral:rRNA from 1 species
GGGGAAUAUUGGACAAUGGGGGCAACCCUGAUCCAGCAAUUCUGUGUGCACGAUGAAGGUUUUCGGAUUGUAAAGUGCUUUCAGCAGGGAAGAAAAAAAUGACGGUACCUGCAGAAGAAGCGACGGCUAAAUACGUGCCAGCAGCCGCGGUAAUACGUAUGUCGCAAGCGUUAUCCGGAAUUAUUGGGCAUAAAGGGCAUCUAGGCGGCCAGAUAAGUCUGGGGUGAAAACUUGCGGCUCAACCGCAAGCCUGCCCUGGAAACUAUGUGGCUAGAGUACUGGAGAGGUGGACGGAACUGCACGAGUAGAGGUGAAAUUCGUAGAUAUGUGCAGGAAUGCCGAUGAUGAAGAUAGUUCACUGGACGGUAACUGACGCUGAAGUGCGAAAGCUAGGGGAGCAAACAGGAUUAGAUACCCUGGUAGUCCUAGCUGUAAACGAUGAUUACUGGGUGUGGGCAUGAAGAGUGUCCGUGCCGAAGCUAAUGCGAUAAGUAAUCCGCCUGGGGAGUACGGCCGCAAGGCUG